AUGGUUUGUAUGUGGUUGUGGGUAUCUUGUGAGUUGUUUUACUGGUUUGGUGCUAUAUAAGCAAGAUUCUCGCCAAUUCCAGAAAACUAACCCAGCAACACUCCAUACCCGGACUGAAUGACUUAUUAUUCACGUAUUGUCAUAUCAAGAAACUAAGUUUUACAGCAGUUUCUGCUCUUCCGAGUUUACGACUAAUGGGAAAACAGGUAAUGAUCUGCGUUUGGAUGGCGGUUAUGUCGGUCAUGAAGAGUCACGUGAUUGCACUACCGCCGCUGCCCGCUAACAACCCGGCUACCCAAUAUCUGUGGAGAAACACGAACAUCAAAGCUUUAUCGCAGGCCGGUUCACAGCCGGAAAAGCCUUUAAUGUUAACGAAAGCGGGACUACUUUCGGCGUAUUUCCUGAUUUUGCGAUACGGGUUACCGCGCUCCUCUGGAAUGCGCGAACGACAUGAUGACGUAAACUCUCUCACUGAGUUUGAAAAAUCUAAACAACAUCAUUCAACCACAAAGGGUCUGUCGACGAAACCGUAUAUAAAAACAACUGCACAACUUUUAGAUUGCAAUGCAGACUGUUCAAAUACAAGAUUCAUGAGGGAACAAAACGUAGAUCCUUUGAUCAAAGUUCAAAGUUCAAAGCAAAAACGAGGUUUAUCUAUUAACCACGAUCUUCAAAUUCUAUCGAAGAUUCUGGAAAAAUCCAGAAAACUUUCUCCUAAAAUAUGUCAUUUUUCGCCUAGAUUCAGAUUGCUGAAGGAUAUACAGAGGCGGAUCAAAACGUUGUAUGGAUCUAAACCAAUGUCUUCGACGGGGGCGGAUUACAAGGCGCGUGUUAGCCAGAAAUACAAUGAUUACAAUCAAUCGAAAAUAGCGAACAUGUUGAUCGAACUUGGCAAAUAAAGCAGCGAUAAUUAUGUUCUCGUGCUGAAUCUGCAGCGCGGAGAAUACUGUGGUAACAAUUUUAUGAAUUCUUGGGGACCAAUCUUCGUGGGUAAGCAAAAUUGUGCUGGUUCGUGGGGACGUUAUUUCGUGGGUAAGCGAUGCGAUGUCCCUAGGAGAGAUAACUCUACUUGGUUAAAAAAAAUUGUUCGAGGACACGUGAAUUCGUGAGUAAGAGUGACCCACGAAAUCCGUGAACAUCAAUCCCCCACGAACAAUGAUGGUUCCACAGAAACAACGUCUGCUGAAGAAAACCUCAGGAUGUCUCCGUUUUCCUUUUAUCUUCGGAUGAUUCGUCACAAAAUAAAACUGAAAAAUGAAAGAUCGGCGGAUUACUGCAUCGAGUCGUGUAGCGCAGAAGAUGUCCGUCAGUUUGAUUGAUAUGGUAAAUGGUAAUUUAAUGUAUUCAAUUUUUUGCUAAAUGUGAAAAGUUUGUUAAAUGAAAGAAUUUUUUGGGGUGAUAUUAUGAUAAAAACAGUAAAGAUAUUUGCGAAAAUCAAUGAUGAACAAAAAUCCAAUUACAAUUAUGUUCUGAAGAGCCAUCUAUUCUAAAUAUAACUGGAAAAUUUAAUUUGAACAAUAUAUGACAUUGUAUUUACAUGUAACUAUAUAUUAUGUAAUCACUUCUUUCUACAGUCAUGUAUGUAUAUAUAUACAAUAUUUGCAUGUAUUUUCAUGCUGUCACUUGAAGGCCCUUACUUGGAUGAAAUAAAAUAUUUUCCAUUU